GGGAGGAAAAGGUAGAGGAAGGGAAAGAAAGAGGAAGAGAGAAGAAGAGAAACAGGGAGAGAAGGAGAGUGCCUGAUCCUGAUCCAUAGUAUAAUAGCCUCCCUAGCCUGAUUACAGUUCUGCUUUUACACUUAACCACUGCUCUUUUGGGUACUGGGCUAUUGAAGAACAAUAUUCCAAAUUUUCUGAAAGUUCUUUCCAGCUGAGAGUAUCUCUAGGCACUGGCUUAAUUCUUUCAAAGUCUCAUGACCACACCCUUGAUUUUUAUCUUUACCUUGAGGCCAAGUCUUAAUGUGAAAAUAUUUAUCUGGCAUGAGACAGCAAAGAUGAAAAACAACUUUAGUUUCUAUUCUAAUAAAUUCUAGCAUCUCUUAAUUCCCCAUAUUCUCCUUGUAAACUGUGUGUGUGUUUUUGUCGACAUUUGUUUCUUUCUUGUAGUACUUUAUAUACAACUAGUAAGAGUCAGCUGAUAUUUUCAACAUUCUGCCUGGAGAUCAAGUCCAAAAAUUCAUAAGCUUAUAGAAGAAUACGACAUACAGAAAAAUAUAUAUUCUGCAAAGAAAACACAGUUAUGUAGGGAACCUUUCCAUCCCCAGUCUGGACCCAGGCUUGUACUCAUAAAUCCUGGCUGCCUUCACAGCAUCAACCUAUAAUUUUUUGUCCACCUCGACUUAUGAAUUAUCAAGAGCUCUCUUAGAUUAUCUGCCUUUUAGCAGGGGCUGAGGAUUAUUAAUAUUCCAGCCUAUAUUUAGAAUUGGCAAAUGCCAUUAAGGGACCUGUGAGAGAAAGCCGGGGAAGCAGAACCCUUUGAUGGAGACAACAGAGUCAGGACAAUAUUGUUUAAAACUCCUAAAUCCAAACAUGCCUGAAGCUAUAAGUUACUUCUGAAAUUUAAAAAUUUUUCCUAGGAAAGAAGUUGUUUCAACUCUCAUUGGAGGAAGUAUAAGGUGAUCUCAGGGAAGGCGAGAAGGGCUGGUUGCCUGCCAAAUCUAUAAUCAAGUCGGCUCCACAGUCAUCCAGUGAUUCAAGUUUGACACACCACACCACGGUGGAUGUGCCUUGUCAUGACACAUCUCAGCAGCACUAGAAGAUACAUCCAAAGUCCUGUGAGCAAGGUCUGUGGUAUCUGUUUAUUAUGGCAGCCCAGUAAGACUAAGACAGGCCAUCACAAGACGUGAACGUUUUGGACCUUCUCUUGGGCCCUAGUAAACAGAAAUCAGAAGGAAGAAAACUUUGCUAAUGCUCUGCCAAGCCUCACUUUUCUCUCAUGAUUAGAAGGUUUGAUGUUAUCCAGAAUUACUCAUGGAAGAUGGAAGAGCUGCAGCAUUACAAUGAAAGCCAUCUUACAACAGCCUGAGCUAUUUAUUAAACUAAUCCACGUUCUGAACAGUUAUUGCUACUGGAAACCAGUCCCGAUCCAGACCACAAAAGACGAUUCUUGGAUCUUGCACAAGAAAGAAAGGGACCUGUGAGAGAAAGCCGGGGAAGCAGAACCCUUUGAUGGAGACAACAGAGUCAGGACAAUAUUGUUUAAAACUCCUAAAUCCAAACAUGCCUGAAGCUAUAAGUUACUUCUGAAAUUUAAAAAU